UACGGGGGGAGCAAGCGUUGUUCGGAAUUACUGGGCGUAAAGGGCUCGUAGGCGGCCAACUAAGUCCGACGUGAAAUCCCAAGGCUUAACCUUGGAACUGCGUCGGAUACUGGAUGGCUUGAAUUCGGGAGAGGGAUGCAGAAUUCCAGGUGUAGCGGUGAAAUGCGUUGAUAUCUGGAGGAAUACCGGUGGCGAAGGCGGCAUCCUGGACCGACAUUGACGCUGAGGAGCGAAAGCUAGGGGAGCAAACGGG
rnacentral:rRNA from 1 species